AUCAGCCCUCUGCUCAGGUCACCACAGAGCACAACCAGGAGAUGAAGGACAACUUCUCAUCUGUGGUCUGGAUGAUUUGUUGGAACCACAAAGUGCCUGUUUUUUACAGUUCACACAUUUCUUUUUAUACCGAACUCAUACAAAGGACUGUUUUGCCAAGAAGCCCAUCAUAAGAUCUUCAAUCCCACACACGAUGAGGCUCUCCUGGAUGUAAACACAGAGGGGGUUAAUGGGAACAAAAUCAUUAGAAGGAAGGGAGGAGUACACUCAGGGAGAGAGUUCAUGUUCCAUACGUCUGUGACCUCGGGCCAUGCUAUACCUUACACUACCUCUGCACGCCCUGACUCUGUGUGACAUGAUGAUGGAGAGGAACAUACCAUACCAGCUGAAUCUGGAUCAUCACCGAUAUGUUCCAGCUUCGAAGACGAGGUUCAAGAUUUUUGACCCCGUACACGCAAACGAGUAAUAGAUUCUGUUUUCUGAUUCUAGGACAGCAUCAGAUAUUGACCACGGGCUAAUUUUAGCUUAAAUGGGUCAAAUUAACUUUUCCAAGUGAUGGUGGUAGAAAAUCAGUGUCAGGCAUCCAUCCACUGUAAUUUUUGCUGCAGCUAUAACUUUAUAAACUUAAUUCAAUAACUCAAUUUUUGUCUAUGAUAAACAGGCUCUCAAUAUAUCUUUGUCUGCAGCCUUGAAAUGACCUUUAAAUGAAUUUAAUAAACGUGUUCCUGCUUUGCAGCUUAAAAGAUGACCUGUCGACCAUUAAUAAGUAAUUGAAGAUGGCUCAGCAUGCAUAGAUUAAGGCAUUUAUGAAGAACAUAUCUAUGUUUGGUAAUACUGUAAGUUUGCCCCUCUGAGGACCAUAUUAGGACUCGUGUCUUGAAAUACUUGGAGCUAAAUACAUGGCAUUAGUGGAUCCCUCAAAGCCGUUUUGUGGAAUGUCCGCUGUUGAAUGAAGCACUUGCUCUGGAUACGAUCUGGGCCUCUAAAGCACCGGUUAAUCCUCGGAAAGUCGGAGCUUUUGGCAUGAGAGCUGAGCGAAAUAUAUGUCUGACAGUGGCUCCAACACGCAAUGAAAAUCCUUCAGUGUCUGAGGGCUUGAGGGAUUGUAAGAUGUUACAAGUGUUUGAACAUUAAGGAUUGCCCCUCUUUUUUUUAUUUUACGACCCAAAUUCAGUAGUAGAAUCAGUUGUCAUUUAGUUUUCUGGUGUGGUUUUUAACAGCCACAGCCGUCUUAAGUACCAUUUGGAUGUUGUGCUCCAACGGUGACUGUUGUCCGACCAGAAGCAGAUGACCUCAGCACAUAAAACCAGAGUGAGUAAAAAGUUCUAGAAAAUGAAAGUCUACAGCGUCCAUCUGUACAUAGAGUUAAAGCUCAAAAAGACAACCCUAGAAAUUGAAAGUGAAGCAGGUUAUGAUAAAUUACUUGGUUAACAGUUUGAAAGCUUAUAUUAUACUGUUACAGCCUGUGCUUUAAGUUGUCAGGGACUCUCUGGUACACAGUAGCGCUACUUCUAAAUUUAACCCUUAGGCGUACUGGGACUUCUGACCAGCUGCCAGUUCUCUUUUCUGUCCUUUAUUUUACUGCUUCUGUUGGCAAUUCGUAAUAGCACCAAAAAUACAUCACCCAGGGCGCACUACAUGAAGCUCGUGUUCUUUCAUUGGUAUUACAUGAUGCUCACUUGUCUGGUUUUGCCAUAAAGUAAUGUCAAAUGAACGCACUGUUUCCACAUAUUCUCAUCUCAUCUUUUGCCUAUAUGCCUAUAUGUCUUUGCUUUUAAACAACGUAUAUAUUUCGUCAUAAACCAAAGUAGUGCACAAACAAAAACUCUGUUCCGAUAAUGUUACUGGAUGAUUUCAACCAAUAAAGAUCACAGAUGAUCCUCUGAGA